AGUCUAAAAUAUGAGAACUGGUUUCUCUUCAUAUUGAGAGAUGUAUCCCAGAAGAAGACAUGGACAUUGGUUUCUUCAGACUCUAUACCAAGUGAAUGCUUCCAGAGGAAUGUUUGGAAUACACCACAGCACAACCCUUUCCCAGUUUGGCCAAGUCUGUGCAGGAUCCAGGACCAUCCCAAACAACAGAGUACACAAUGGCAUCUUUGACAACUACAGAAAUUCCAAUCGAGGACAUGUUUCCAAAUGCCCCCGAGGAUAUUUCCAUGAUAAACAUCGCUAUCGUGGUCGUUCUUUUAGAGGAUUUCAAAACAACUUCUCAAAAGGAAGCUCCCAGAAGUUGCCACAUUCAUCCUCAUAUGAUAAGUCAAAUAAAAGGCAAGAUGGUUCUCAAAAAGUGGAAACAUUGUCAGCAGAACCCAAGGAAGCUGAACAAGGCAAGGAGGUUUCUUUGUGGAACAGAACUUACUCACCCAAGGAUGAGUUAAAACCUGAUUCUCAAGCCACAGGUGUUGACAAACCAUUGUGUUCUGCACUAGCAGUGUCUCCAUCAUCCUGGGGAACUCUGGAGAGCCUUACAUCCUGCAGAAAUGAAACUGAAAUUGACCUGAGUCAAACUAAGCAGGUUGAAGAGAAGGCCACUCCGGUUGCUGAAGAGCCUCCUGAACAGAUAGCUCCUUUCCCUUCUGCUACAGUGCCUGCAGAAGAGCGCUCAUUGUCUGAAACCACAGAAAGGCUUCUUUCCGUAGAAGAAAAAGAUUCUCCAUUGCUGGACGUCAGCCACUCUCCAGAACAUUCCUGCCAUGUUAAGUCACCUUUGACUGUAGAAGUACCAUUCCAGUGUGAGAUGGCAAAUGAACACCACCAGUCUGAGGAAAAAGAAGUUGAGCUGACCAAAAUCACAGGCUACUGUGAGAAUUCAGAUCACGGACAAGGUGGCUGUGCCUCAACUGUUAACUCCGUCAAGCACCAACAUACCCUCAGUAACAUCCAUUGUGUGCCUGUGCUGGUGAGAGAUGCAAGGAAUAAGCUGUUCUGUUGCCAGGUUCCUUCUGGGCCCCUUUCUCAUACUCGCCUCUCCUGUGACCAGAAAAAUGAGAAUGGAAGACUGCUAGAAUGCCAUUGUUCUUCACCAAAGAGUCAUUUCAGCAGUGGUUCAGAGCAUUCUAGCACAAACUAUGUCUCUAAGAAGUUUGGUCCUGAGAAUUCAAGACCCUCUUGCCAAAAAAGAUACCAUUCAAGAUCCCCUCGCAGGCAAGAACAUAGUU
rnacentral:lncRNA from 1 species